GUUCUAAUAAAAACACAGUCAAUUUUUUUUAAACAAAGGGCACUAUAGGUUAUCCAUUGCAAUGAUAAAUCUAGAAGGUCAGGCUGGGAGGUUAUUGUUUUGUCAAAUCUUUGGGAUUUGACCCUAACAUGUUCCCACUUCUGUGUUGAAAUCAGUUAUACCCAAAUCUUUUUGAUCAGUCACUGACAUUUAUUGAGCACCUACUAAUCGUUGGGCCUUGGUUUAGCCUGAAAUUGUGUGAAAGUCAAAGAGUGCAUGACUUUUAGAAUUGCUCAUCAACAGGUACAAUUUCAUAGUCAGUCCCAGGGUUUCACAGGUGUCUGAACAACUCUGGGACCACUCAUAUCUCUGAGCAUAAUUGUCUGCUCUCUGAGCUGGCACUGCAUCCCAGAUGAUGGCUCUCCUUGAUUUUUCCAUGCAGGCAUCCAGGAGCAGAGCUGUGGGGCAGCAGAAUCUGUGAUGACAGAGAAUGAUGAUGUAUUUUUGCCAGCAGAUGCUUUUGCUCCUGUUUUGAUACCCCAAUAUUCGGAUGCAGAAAAGGACUCUGAGCAUUGCUGACGGGUGUGCUCUGCACACCUAUCUCUUCAGGAUCUGAAUAAUUUGGUGGAAAGACAAUGCCUUUUCUGGAAAAGGGUGUCAGUCUCCACAAAGAACAAUGUUCUUCCCAACCUGCCAAGACAGCCAAAUAACAAAAGAAAUACCCGUGGAGCCCACCUGAAGUGCACAGAUCUGGGGACAUUGGGAGGAACAGAGGUAGCUUAGUGACUCUACUGUCCCUACCACCCAACCUGCUAUUAGCCCUGCUGGUCCGCUCGUGUUUGAGGUCAUGAGUCAGGUGAGUUUCACAUUUUCCAACUCAAGCUAAGUUAGAUUCAUCCACCCAGUACUUUGGAAAGCAAGGCGAACCACAUCUACCGUGAGCAAUUCCUCGAAGCUGUCAGCGUGUGCUGCCAGUCCACCCUGCGAGAGCCCCGUACAAGACAACAGAUUAACCAUUAGACUAGAUAUGUUGAAAAUAUACAGCUUCAACCUUUCCCCAGCUAGCUCAGAGCGAUAUAUAGAUGAUUAUUUCAACCGUCAGCUGCCGCAUAGAUUUAAACCUCUGCACAAUAACUCCUGGAUUCAUCUGCCCCUUGUCAAACUUGCACAGCUUUAGUUGGAGGAUACAUGGUGUGGCAGUUUCACUGUGAAUCCAGAAUGAUCCAGACGGCUGCUGUCUCUUUGUUAACAGGAAGCCAAACUGAUGAGUUUGUAAUGCAUUUCUUAUCAAAGGUAGUUUCAGAAAAGAAAAUGUGCCCCAUCAGUUUGGCUAGAAUUUCACAUACACAAGAUUAUAGGCUUAAUCAGAAUAUCUCUGUUAUUUUCUUGAGGAAAUAGAUAAUUCCACAUCCAUUCCAUUAAAUCAUUUUAUGCCAAUGAAUUAUGUAUUUAUGAAUUUAUAAUUAUCCUUGAUUUUUCUUCCCCUUUUGCAGUCUACUUAAUAAAAUCAUCAGCUGGAGCUUACAAAGCAAUAGUGCUUAAUAGAUACAAGCAUGCUAAUAUAUUUUUUAAGUGAAUGCUGAUCUUUCUGAGCUGUGUGUCUAAAAUCAUCAUUGUGAAUAAAAGAAUUGUAAUUUCCAACCCAUACAUUUAACAAAGACAAAGUGGACUGUAAUGGAAUUUAUGGAGCCUGUAAAGGAACUCUUUUUCUAAGACGGUUUAUAAUCAAAUAGAUUUGGAUUUACUGUAGGUCAAAUCAGGUCCCCCGAUGUGUAUCAAGAAAAAAAUGCCUGUAAGAUACCAAACACUGCUCCUGGCACCCUGGAAGGGCUCACACCCAUGGCUACAGCUGCUAGUUUCCUGGUGUCCUCAUUGUUUCCACCCCUAGUGAAUUCAGUACUUAAAUGUCAGCUUUGAAAUCAAUAUUUAUACUGUCUUCACUUAAAAUUAUGACAUUCUGUUCAUCCUGGAUUUUUUAAAUUUUGAUUAUUUUGAAAAUAUUUUAUUUUGAUAGUUUGAAAAUAUUGCAUGAAACUAUCAUUUAUCUUGAUUCCUGAGGUUUUGGGUCUCCUCUUAAAUUUGGUGCCCAGGGCAAAAGCUUCUCUCACCUCGCCCAAUUUCCAGCCCUGAACACCAUUUCUCAAAGGUGUUUGAGGUACUGGUUCUGCCACCCCACAGAACUGGACAAGGCAAAUCUAACACAAGACUUAUUUCUUUUGAUCACUUCAUGCUGUUUGCAUGAGAUUGUUAAGGAAGGCCCUUGCAACAAACACUUCCUCGUGGAUUUACAAAUUGUCAGGCAUCCCAAGGAGUGGAGAAAAGAUCAUGCUGCCUCAGGAAUCUGAGAUUUGCCACCUGCCCAGAGUGAGAAACAGAAAAGAGAGCUGGGGUCAGGUCUCUCGUGGACUUUAUUUCACAUCCCACAUCAAAUCCUCCUGGUUAACACAAUGUUGAUUUACAUUUCCACUUUGGGGUGAAAGUUUUUAUUUGCUUACAUAUUUUGACACCAAUGUUACUUUCUUUUUCUUUCCCCCCACCCCCAAACAGGUUCAAAUAGCCAUGACUGGCAGAAGAUGUCAAUCACAUUUCAUUUCCAUUUUCACUUUGCUGUUUACAUUCUUUAAAUUAAUGCUUGCCCCAAUGAUUGUGAUAUUUAAAGACCAGCCUAGAAUCUAAUUGUGUAUAUGUGAAACUGUUUUCUAAACCAUAAGAUGUUAUAUAAAUACAAACCACUAUUAUUAUUAACAUUAUUACUAUUGGCUCAUCCGGAAAUACCAUAUCUUCCAUUGAGCCAAUGGUGUCAAGAGCCCCCUAGAAUUCUAAUAUAUAUUCCAGAUGGGUGCACUGAUAAUUUCUUUCAAACUCAGAUAAAGGUAAAAUGCAUGGGUUUUUAGUGCAAGCCAGGUGCCCGACGAAGAAUAUUCUGCCAGAACACUUUAGAAAUACAGUAUGCUUUUAACCUUGGGAGGUAAGGACCAGUGUGGAUUAUGACUUUACACUAAACACAGCAUUUAGUAUAUUUCUUAAGGGCAUAAUCACCUUCUAUAGAUGUUCUUGAACUAUAAAAUCUUUAUCUGUAUGCUAUCAUAAUUUAUCCUCGGACACAUCCUGUGCAAUAUUUUAUAAUGCUAGUGUAUGGUGGGCCUUUCUGGUCAAUGCAUUGGAGAACAAGGUGUGGAGUGCAACAGAAGGGCUGGAAGCGGCUUGGGGAUGCUCUGGCCUCACCCUCUUUUGCGUCAUAGCUGCACUCAUACGCAGACCCUGACCCAGGACCCAGGUCGGCUGACUUCUAAUUCAGAUCAUUUGCUGCCAGAAUUCUGCCUGUGAGUGAGAACAGCAUGAGGAUAUGAGCUUCUUGAGUCAGUCCACCUGCCCAAGUCCCAGCUCUGACCCUCUUUAGAGCUCUGAUCUCAGACCAGUUACUCCAUACCUCAAUGUCCUACGAUCUACUGUGAUCCCUACUGGACCAAGGACACCAAAUUUCGGAGAUGCUUUGGGAUUAUGUGACAUAACCAGGGGGCUGCAGGCUGACAGCCUGAGGACCAACUACUGUCCCCAGUGUGCUGAGCUUGGCACCACCCUGCUGAUACACAGGAUUUCACAUGUGGGACAAUCUUUAAGUCUGAAGAUUGUCCAUACAAAUAUGGAUUUCUAACUUCUAAUUAAAAAUCUUGUAGAGGACUGAGUCUUCAUUCCAAAAGGGUGCCAUUCUCCUGGGGCAGGAGCUUAUCAGCUGCUCAAAUGCCCCACUGCUGCCUACUGUACCCCCAUAUAUAGGGCAGACACCCCAUGUUUGCAUUUCUGGCCCUGGAACCAGUGACACUCAAGUGUACCAUCCCCGAAAUAAAGAUUUUAAGGCAUGGGAUAUCCCUCCACAAAUGCCUACUCACAUUGAGUGGGUAGAGAGGUUAAGAGUUAACCACACAGGUCUUAAAGCCACAUUGUUGGGUCUGAACCUAGGUAUUUGGCAAAUUAUCUAACUUCAGUUUUCUCACCAAUAAAAUGAGAAUUAGAGUACCUAUCUAAUAGGUUGUUGUGAGAAUUGACUGAAAAUGUGAAAAGCACUUAAAAGAAUUCCUGGUGAGCUCUUUCUAAAUGCUACCCAUGAUUAUUGCCUUGGCUUUGAAGAGUCAGAGCAAUGAGAGUUCUCUGCUGCUGGGUCCUUCUCCACACCAGUCUGCCACAUUUGGACAUGGUGUAAUUCACAUGGGUCCAUACUCUCUCUCCUUCCCCAAGCAAUUGAGCCGCUAACCAACACUUAGAAUGGGGUGAGCAUUCCCACCCCCACCUGACCCCUAGCCUUGCAUCUCAUUCAACUGUCACCUUUGUCCCUUGUUUCAUAUGGCCCCAAUGAAGUGCUCAAGUCAAAUAAUUAGGUUUUGCCAAAUGUCAUAAAAACAAGAAAAGCCAGAAAACGUUUAAACGGACCUCAAUUGGAGAAGGCUGGAACCAUUCAGGGCAAGAACAAAUGAAAGACAGAUGGGGACAGAGGAACCCCACUGUUUCCUCUAAAUUACAGGAAAUUCACGCCGUCUGAUUGUGAGGGCCUCUUUUCUUUCCCUUGAAUUUCUGCUGGGAGGUCAUGGGAUUGAUCGGCGUGUGCAGACACAUGGGAGACAGAAGAAGGGGCAGAGGCAUGGCGGGGUAGAGAGGCAGUGACUCCUUCACCAGGCUCUCCCACCAUGUCUUCCUUUCACCUGACUACUUGACCACCCUUGAAGGGACAGCCUAGGCUGCCUCCUCCAGGGGGCCUUCCCAGAUGAUUAUGACAAGAUCAAUUCUCUCCUUUCUUUAAAAAAUCCCCUGGCACUUCUGAUCUCAUGCCUUGCAUUAUUAUAAUUUGUGUUCAAUUCUAAUGUGUUCUACUCCCCCAGCUAGGCUUAUAAGCUCCUCUGUUGGAGUUCACAUAUCACUGAGUCUCUCACAAUGCUGGGCCCUGAAAAGUUCCCAAUAAAUAGCUCCGAGCAGCUACAGAGGCGAUGUUGCAAAGGGGAGAAGCACAGCUUAGUGAUCAGGAGCCCCGGGGUUCUAGGCCUGCCUUGGAUCAACUGUGUGGCCUUGGCAAGACACUUCCCUUUCCUGGGGGGAUGAGCAUUAGUUAAGUAUGAGACCCUUCUGGCUCUGAUUUGUAAUGACUCUGAGUUUAAUGUCGGGCAUACCUUUUUCUUGUUCUUUUCUUUAAAAUCUUUUUAAAGAUGCACAAUAAGAGAGAACCACAAGCCUAGCCAGAGAAAUUAGAUAAUUGCAUUAAAUACGAAUAUACGAACUCAUAAGUUACAUAAAUGCAACAGUACAAAAGAUGUUGCAUGAGAAUGUCAAGGGAGGGCUACAUGAAAUGUCUUAGACAAUAAGUUAAGUCCUAGAGAGAGAAUUGUUCAGGAAAAAAAAAAAAAAAGAAAGGAAGAAAAAGAAGACGACUUGAAACAAGAAUAGGAUGAAUAGAGAGGUCCCGUAUAUCCCCAGAUGGAGCACAGGGCCUGGCACUCAGGGGGCACUUGACCCAUGAUGCUGAACAGACUAAGGAGUGGCAGUAGAGGGUGGGAAGGGCAUGCCAGGUGGAGGACACAGUUUGAACCAAGGCAAGGUGGUUGGAAAAUACUAAACUGUAUAAACUGUAAGAAAGUCAAUUUGGCUAGAGCAGGAAAAUGUGUUUGAGGGCACAGUUGGAGGUAUAAAGGGCAGAGAGUGUAAGCGUUUACAUUCCAAAUGAUAGAAUUUGCACAAUAUUUAGUAAUAAUCUGAAGCCUCUGGGAAAGCUAUUUUUCUUCUGAUUUAAAUACUGAAGUUCAAAGAGGAUAGUGGGUGGGCUUUGCAUCUUGCAAAAGUCUAUCAGAAACUGCCUAGCUCGCUCAGCCCACUUUCCUUUCCAAGGUAAGAAACACACAUUCAUGCAUGGAAAUAAAGCAGGGAGGCCCUUGGCAACUGUCCAGUUCCAUUGAAGUUCUCAUUUUUCUUUUUUUUCUGGAGAGCUUAUUCAACAGGAAAAUAAAGUUAUCUAAUGCCUCAGAAAGGGGUCCCGUGAAACUCACAAGGCCUAUUCCUCACAGCCCAGCCAGGUAAAUUUACCCUGAUUUCAGGAUGGCUAUUUCUUGUCUUCAACUACUCCAGCUGAUCCCAUCCCCUCUACAGAGAACUGGAAGGAAACCCGUCAGGGUUUGACUUUUACAUGAAAACUGACUGCAAUCCAUAUUUUCAAAAAAUCAUUUUCAACAAAACCAGUGCUUUAAAAUAGAUUCACUGAGAAGAAAAUGUUUCCCCAAUCCUCUCCUCCUUGAUUUUGUUGAAUCAAUAACAUUUCAAGAUGUUCUCUGUGAAAAUCACAUGGGUGAGUUAAAUAAGAACAUACAUUACAUUAUCUAGAUCCUCAACUUGCAGCCCUUAGCGCAGUAUGCCUGAGAAAAGUUUAAAAACUCAAAAGAGAGAAAUCCUAUUCAAAGAGUAAAAUACUGCCUAUGCUUCCAAAGUUCUUUACGGCCUGAUAGGUAGAAAUUUAAUAAUGAAGGGCUGGGAAUGGUGGCUCACAUUUGUAAUCCCAGCACUUUGGGAGGCUGAGGCAGGUGGAUAUCUUGAGGUCAGUUCAAGAUCAGCCUGGCCAAUAUGGCAAAACCCCGUCUCUAAAAAUACAAAAAUUAGCUGGGCAUGGUGGCAUAUGCCUGUAGUCCCAGCUACUUGGUAGGCUGAGGCAGGAGAAUCACUUGAACCUGGGAGGCAGAGGUUGCAGUGAGCUAAGAUCGCACAACUGCACUCCAGCCUGGAUGACACAGUGAGACACUGUUUAAAAAAAAAAAAAAAGGAAGAAAAUUUAAUAAUGAAAAACAUAAACAAAUAAGUGAGUCAUCCUGAGACAUAUUUCAAUUCUCCCCUUCUGUAACCUCAAUAAAUUCAUUUUCUCCCACAUAAGCUAAUGUUUGCACUAAAUAUUCUGUACAAAGGAAUACCGCAGACCAUAAAAAAAACAGUAAAAAGAUAUAGCUGUGUCUUUUUUAAAAAACGGUUGAAAAAUUGGGUAUGUGUGGACAAAAUAAUUUUUAAAAAUAGUUUUGCUUGCACAUUUGAUUUCUCUCUUCAUUUAUGAUGCCCUAGUUGAUGAGCUGAUCAACUUUUCUGUGAAAAGUCUUCCUAAAAAACAGAACAAAACUUAACAGAAACUCUGAUCCUGUUUGUCAAAAUGUAGUUCUGGCCCCGAGAGAAAGGCAAUAUUCUUUGGAUGACUUGGAUUCUAAAGCAACUCUUUUAUUAGUAUUAUUAUUUACUUUUUUUUUUUGAGACGGAGUCUCGCUCUGUCACCCAGGCUCCCAGGCUGGAAUGCAGUGGUGCAAUCUUGGCUCACUGCAACCUCUACCUCCCAGUUCAAGCAACUCUAGUGUCUCAGCCUCCAAAGUAGCUGAGAUUAUAGGCACCUGACUAAUGUUUGUAUUUUUAGUAGAGACGGGGUUUCACCGUGUUGGCCAGGCUGGUCUCAAACUCCUAACCUCAAGUGAUCUGCCCGCCUCAGCCUCCCAAAGUUCUGGGGUUACAGACGUGAGCCACUGCACCCAGCCUGGAUUCUAGAGUAACUCUUGAUGAAAGAACAUCAUACUAAGGUGAUUUUUAUAUAAAACAUUAAUUCAGUAUAUCAAUCAGUCACUUUAAUAAAAAUGCCCCUCAUUAUCCUGAGGUGAAUAGAAGCCUAUGGGAUUAAUUUGUGUAAAUAGAUAUUAGAUUAAAAUGGGAACUUGCCACAUAACAAUAAUCAGAUAGCAUAGGCAAUCCAAUCUCAGUGCUGAAUCCAGUAUUGUGUGUGUAGUUACCUUUUAAAAACAGUAACAUGUAUUUAACUUGGACUUGCUUCAAGUAAGCACUGCAUCAGGCAAGUUGGAUUUCAAAUAAACCUUAGCAAUUGAGGGGCAUUGUCGUACUGGAAGUAUAUCUCUUCAAACAACAGCAACAACAGUUUUAGAUAUUUAUUUUAGAGAAAUAAAGGAGACAAUCUGCAAGAGAAAAGGCAGAAAGUGAGGAGGAGGAGAGUACCUAGAAUCCAGGUAGAGGGUUUAUUUCUAGAAAAGCAGCGCCACCUGCUGGUGGACCUGCAUGUCAGGCCCUUCUGCGGCUUGCAGGCCAUCUGUCUUGCAAUCUAUGCAUAAAUACACAGCAGUAUUUCUCAGCUGCUGUUAUACGUAAGAAUUGUAUUACCAGUAGGCAGAUUUCUAACACACUGGUUGUAGUUUAAUAAUCCUAUAUUACCUGAAGUAUGGGUUAUAUAAAAACCUAGAAUGUUAAUUGUUGACAAACCAAUUCUAAUAUGUAAAGCACUGUAAGUCACCCAGUAAAUACACAAGUAAAUCAAAAGGGAUAGCUCUUUUUGCUCUAACAACGUGUUAUUAAAAGCCACAACUUAAUCACUUACAUAAAAAUAAUGUUCAUGAAUUUCGAUGUACUAAGAAAUCAGGAAAAUGCAUUAUAAUCUUACUAACAGAGCUUUUCCUUCACUUACAAUUUAGAGGAAACUAUUUUGCAGAAAAUAUUUUUCCCUUUCUUUAAAAAAUGUACCUAAACCAACAUGCCAUUUAGGAAAUUUGCUCCUAUAACAAAACCUAGUUACAAACAACUAAGAUUACAUCUAUAAAAUGUUAUAUUUUUAAAAUAGCAAUAGAGAAGUUGUGGAAAAUAUGUCACUGAUACAGUGAGCAGAGAAACACUACCUGUCAUUUUUCAGGAAAAGAUCACACAAACGCGAUAGCAAAGGAACACAAUAAAAAGCAGAAACAGGAAUGUGAUAGGUGACUCUGAUUGCAUCUGCAAAGGAAACUGUGAAAUAAAUUAACACCCAAGUACCCAAGAAAGGCACAUUGUGGCUUCACUGGAAGUGAUCAUUAUGCAACAGAGAAGGUUGGUGAUUUUGUAAGAACAGAAAUAAAGUGUAGCCUGUGAAAUCUAGUGGUGAUAACUAAUGACCAUACUACUUACAACUCUGAUUUGAUCUCUAACAUAAAAAAAUAAAAUAAAAAAGUACUCUAAAGAAUAGAUGUAUGCAAUAGGGAUUGUGUUUCUCACUUGAAACAAAUAAACCUCAAAUGGGAUCAAAGGGCCCCGGUAAAUGAAAAAUGACAGUUCCUAUGUUGCCCUGAUUUGAUCUCAAGCAAAACUACCAUGCUGAUAACAUAGCAGGGGAUGUGAGGAAGGCAGUGGAGUUCUUGGAUUGCUAUGAAAAGGAGGCGAGUGUGUAGCCCAUUCAGCUGAUGGGAAGCCCAUUCUAAUUCCAAAAAGUUAUUGAGAUUUAAUCUCUAACAACAACAACAACAACAAAAUAACUCAUGCGGCAACCAAAAGGGUAUCCUUUAAAAACACACAUACACAAUUUUGUUAUUUCCAAUACAUUCUGUAGAAUCUCUUUACAUUCAAUUCUUCCAUCUGUCUAAGCUGGGUAAGGCACAUGUGUGAAGAGAACCAAAUGUCACAAUGCUUGCUUUGAGAACGAAGUGUCUCCAGUUAUCCAGACAGGGAGCUUGACUAGGAGGGUCUCAGGCAUAGGCCAUGGGCAUCCCAUCUCCCAUCUCAGCUGGCUACCACUCACUCUGGAGAGACAGGGUUUCCAGGAGCAAUUCUGGACAGAUGCAAAGGGUGAAGGGGAAUCUGGUGGGGUUCAGGGCUGUCAAGAUUCGAGUUGGGGGCUUACCCUGCCUAGAUAUAACUCCUAGUGUUAGCUUGUGUAUUAGUCCAGUGAGAUAAGGUCUAGGCCAUUGGCUAGGGUCUGAACAAUUAAAGGUGCACACCCUGCCUUAAAUAUCCAAAUUUAUUUGGGAUAAAUUCAAAUCAAUAAGGAAACAUAGGUGGAUGAACAGAAGCAAUGGGUUUGCCAUGGCUUCCUACCCCGACUCAAAUACCCAAUGACAUAUGGAAGGAGAAAACAUCAGCACCCCCAGAUCCACUACAGAGCCCACCAUGUGCUGUCAGCAGAAACAACGGAACAAAUGUGUUACCUUCAGAAGAAGCAGUGAUCAAUUUGAGAUCAAUCUAUUCAAGAGUUGUCCAGCAGUCAAAGGAAUUGGCUGUUGGCUGUUCAGAAACAAAGGUUCUGUUCAAGAAGGUAUAAAGGAACAAGAAGGAAGAAAGGAAGAUCUCUAGCCUUGAGACUUUUUUUUUUUUUUUUGCCUCUGGUUCAGCUUCUCAUGAAAGACCUUUUUCCUUGAGAUACAUGCUUAAUAAACUAUGGAAACAUAUUGUCAACAGAGUUUACAUGUUAAUCAGCCAUUUAUUGAAUUCACACUGUGUGUCUUGGUUACUGUGUGCAAUAUGCUAAGAAUUCAAAGACCAAUUUUGACUUCUACAAAAACCUCAACAUAAAAACUGUCUAAUGGGGUUUACAUGAAAUGUUACAGGCUUACAGAAAAGAGAUUCACUUUUUCUAAUUUGGUUUCCGGGUGGGCUAGUUAAGAAGGCUUCACAGAGAUGGCA
rnacentral:lncRNA from 1 species